AUUGAACGCUGGCGGCAUGCUUUACACAGGCAAGUCGAACGGUAACAGGCCGCAAGGUGCUGACGAGUGGCGAACGGGUGAGUAAUGCAUCGGAACGUGCCCAGUCGUGGGGGAUAACUACUCGAAGGAGUAGCUAAUACCGCAUACGAUCUAUGGAUGAAAGCGGGGGACCGUAAGGCCUCGCGCGAUUGGAGCGGCCGAUGUCAGAUUAGGUAGUUGGUGGGGUAAAGGCUCACCAAGCCAACGAUCUGUAGCUGGUCUGAGAGGACGACCAGCCACACUGGGACUGAGACACGGCCCAGACUCCUACGGGAGGCAGCAGUGGGGAAUUUUGGACAAUGGGCGCAAGCCUGAUCCAGCAAUGCCGCGUGCAGGAAGAAGGCCUUCGGGUUGUAAACUGCUUUUGUACGGAACGAAACGGCUCUGGUUAAUACCCGGGGCUAAUGACGGUACCGUAAGAAUAAGCACCGGCUAACUACGUG
rnacentral:rRNA from 1 species